AUGAUUCGGUGUUUGGCCCCCCUCCCCGAGGGUUUGGAAAAUCCAGUAUUGGAGAAGAUGCUCGAGGUCACACCUUGCCCGGAGCCCUUGAAGGAAGAUACCGAGGGAGACAAUACGGGCGGACGCGGGCCCCCAUCGCUAUCCGCUCCAACCGAGGGAACGAGCGUCUCCAUGAAGGAGGACGAUCGGGGGAGGAAAAGGACUGCUUCCGAGGAUCCAGAAGCCGAAGCCUCCAAACGGGAGGAGAGGUCUCCCACUGAGGGUCCUGCCUUGGGGGGUGCCUUUGCCGCACAGAGUCCACGGGGGGAUCAGCCCUCCAACGAGUGUUCGGGCCUCAGCCCCUCUCAAAUGAGCUCGUCUUCAGGGGAUCUUCUUCCAGAGAUGAUGGAGAGCGAAACGCCUCCCCCGGACUCCUCCGCUCCAGAAGCGGGCGACCCCAAAGUGUCGUCGCGGAGGGCCUCUCCGGAUCCGGUGAGGCUAGAAGAUAAUCCCGUAGACCCCCAAAGUCCCUAG
rnacentral:rRNA from 1 species